GGACUACAGGGGUAUCUAAUCCUGUUUGCUCCCCACGCUUUCGCUCCUCAGCGUCAGUACCGGCCCAGAGCGCCGCCUUCGCUACGGGUGUUCCUCCCGAUCUCUGCGCAUUUCACCGCUACACCGGGAAUUCCACGCUCCCCUACCGGACUCGAGUCAGGGCAGUCUCACGUGGCGCCUCCACGUUGAGCGUGGAGAUUUCACACGUGACUUGCCCAACCGCCUACGAGCUCUUUACGCCCAAUAAAUCCGGACAACGCUUGCCCCCUACGUAUUACCGCGGCUGCUGGCAC
rnacentral:rRNA from 1 species